GGUGUCCCGGCCUGGCCGUCCCGCUCCCAGCGCUGUCGCCGCAGCACCCGACGGACCCGCGAGCGCAGUCCCGUACCUGGGUCCGGUAGCGAGGGAGAGCCAGGAGUACGCCGCUGUGCAGGCGGGCAGCCUCUGCGCGGCAAGGGAGAGGCGUGGCCCUGCCUGCCUGACCUCAGAGUUGACGUCAGAGAACCCCAAAUGAAUAACAGGGAGUGCACCAGAACAGAAGCACAGCCAAGCUACCCAGCAUGGAAGGUGAGACACCAGCACCACUAAACGAGAGAAGACAUAAAAUGGGAGGUAUUUCCCACAGAACGGUGCUCUGUAUCCACAGUGUCAAGACUCUGGCUUCAAUUCAAGAGAUCUUGGACCAAAGGAUCUUGGAGAAUUAUUAGUGCACUGAUAUUUAUAGAAUGAAAAUGAUAUGUCUUGUGAAACUGUUGGACAUUUAAUAACAGUAUUAGCCCUGGGCAAAUAGUGGAAGCGUUGACCACACAUUGUAAGAGGGAGUGAUGGUUGCCACUAACUAUACAACCAAUAUACGUUUUGGAGCAAGAUAAUUAUACAACUGUUUGGAAUACCACCAGUGGAGAUAUGUUGAUAUCGUAGGAGGUUUGCUUCCUUGUUUUACUCCCACAUAAUAUUAAUAAUUUUAAAAUAUCCUUGUUAACAAUUCAGAACUUCAUUAAAUUAUGUUGUCCAUUCCAUGUUGAAGGACAAGAUCUUGACCUUAGGCACUGCUAUGAUCAACUCUUUCUGAAAAACUACCAGAGCUUUCCGAAAAACGUCUUGAAGUCUUCUCCUUGCAGAAGUAUGCUCAUACGCUUCACAUCAAGUGAUACCGACCCCCACUCUGCCUUUCAUCUGCUUGGUGGGAGGCAAUCUUCAUCUCCUUAUCCACCACAGAGUUCCUGUACUACCUGCUGCUUUCCCCAUUUUAAGUAACACAUUACCAAAUGUAUCUGUUGCAAUUACAUUCAGUGAUUCUCUGGAUUUUGUGAAUAAAUAUGGUUUGGGGUAGAGCACCCAUGAGACUUCUGAUAAACUGAUACAGCAUUUCAUGCUGUGUUACAGUUAUGUUCCUGCUAUUC